UGCGGGAUAGAGCAGUCGGUAGCUCGCUUGGCUCAUAACCAAGAGGUCGCUGGUUCAAAUCCAGCUCCCGCAACCA
rnacentral:tRNA from 1 species